rnacentral:rRNA from 1 species
CUACUGGGGUUUCUAAUCCUGUUUGCUCCCCACGCUUUCGCGUCUUAGCGUCAGUAACCGUCCAGAUAGCCGCCUUCGCCACUGGUGUUCUUCCCAAUCUCUACGUAUUUCACCACUACACUGGGAAUUCCACUAUCCUCUCCGGUCCUCUAGUCAUUCAGUAUCGAGUGCAUUUCUUGAGUUGAGCUCAAGGCUUUCACACCCGACUUGAACAACCGCCUACACGCGCUUUACGCCCAGUAAUUCCGAACAACGCUAGCCCCCUUCGUCUUACCGCGGCUGCUGGCAC